UGGGGUAAUCGGUCCCAAGCGGUAAGGCACCGGAUUCUGAAUUCCGGCAUUCCGAGGUUCGAAUCCUCGUACCCCAGCCA
rnacentral:tRNA from 1 species